rnacentral:rRNA from 1 species
GACGAACGCUGGCGGCGUGCUUAACACAUGCAAGUCGAACGGAAAGGCCCUGCUUGCAGGGUACUCGAGUGGCGAACGGGUGAGUCACACGUGGGUGAUCUGCACUGCACUUCGGGAUAAGCCUGGGAAACUGGGUCUAAUACCGGAUAGGAGCCAUUUCUAGUGUGAUGGUUGGAAAGUUUUUUCGGUGUAGGAUGAGCUCGCGGCCUAUCAGCUUGUUGGUGGGGUAAUGGCGUACCAAGGCGGCGACGGGUAGCAGGACUGAGAGUGUGGGCAGCCACAGUGACACUGAGAUUCGGACCAGGCGCAAACUAGUGGCAGCAGUGGGAGAGGUUGAUCAAGCGGCACGGGCCAGAUGCAGCGGCGCCGCGGGGGGGAGAACGAUGUUCGUGUUAUAAUCGUAUAUCGCUUUGAACGAAGCUUAUUGUGACGGUACCUAGAGAAGAAGCACCGGCUAACUUCGUG